rnacentral:rRNA from 1 species
UUGAACGCUGGCGGCAGGCCUAACACAUGCAAGUCGAGCGGCAGCGGGUCCUUCGGGGUGCCGGCGAGCGGCGGACGGGUGAGUAAUGCCUAGGAAUCUGCCUGGUAGUGGGGGAUAACUCGGGGAAACUCGAGCUAAUACCGCAUACGUCCUACGGGAGAAAGCGGGGGAUCUUCGGACCUCGCGCUACCAGAUGAGCCUAGGUCGGAUUAGCUAGUUGGUGAGGUAAAGGCUCACCAAGGCGACGAUCCGUAGCUGGUCUGAGAGGAUGAUCAGCCACACUGGAACUGAGACACGGUCCAGACUCCUACGGGAGGCAGCAGUGGGGAAUAUUGGACAAUGGGCGAAAGCCUGAUCCAGCCAUGCCGCGUGUGUGAAGAAGGUCUUCGGAUUGUAAAGCACUUUAAGUUGGGAGGAAGGGCAGUAAGUUAAUACCUUGCUGUUUUGACGUUACCGACAGAAUAAGCACCGGCUAACUUCGU